rnacentral:rRNA from 1 species
AUGGCGCCCCUGAAGAAACUCUUUCGUAUCUCGCUUCUCUUGCUAGUAUGCGCAGCCAAGGCGACCAACCCGGAAGCGGAAGCACUUGUCCGAUGGAAGUCCACUUUGGUUGGCGCCAACUCCCUGUCCUCAUGGUCGACUGAGAAUUCCACCUGCUCUUGGUUUGGUGUCUCCUGUGACGCUGCCGGGCAUGUUACGGAGCUCAGCCUUCCCAGCGCUGGACUCAACGAUACGCACGAUUACUUGUAUUCAGCAGCGUUCUUGAACCUCACCAAGAUCAAACUCAACAACAACAAUCUUGUCGGCGCCAUCCCAGCAAACAUAUCCAAGUUGCUUAUGCUCACCUAUCUGGACUUGAGCAGCAACAAUCUUGCUGGUGCCAUCCCCUACCAACUCAGAAACCUACAAAUGAUUGUCAAGUUUAAUCUGGGAAAUAACCACUUGGCUAACCUGGAAAACAACAAGUUCUCACCUAUGUCCAGUUUGAAGAUGUUGUCGCUAGCUAAUAAUGAUCUCAGUGGCACCUUCCCACAAUUUAUCCUCAACUGCACCAAUUUGAACAUGAGAUCCCUCGAUUUAUCGGGCAACGCCUUCUCAGGGCCAUUACCAGAUUUAUUACCAGAGAUGGUCCCAAGGUUGAGGUAUCUAAAUCUGUCCAUUAAUGGUUUCUAUGGAUCCAUACCUCGCUCAUUCUCAAGGCUCCAAAACCUCGAGGCACUAUAUCUCGGGAGAAAUAAUCUGACAGGAGGAAUCCCACCCGAGCUGGGGAUGAUAUCUGGGUUGCGAAACCUUUCACUGAGCAGGAACCCACUUGGUGGGUCGAUCCCAACCUCACUGGGGCAGCUUCAGUUGGUACAGGUGCUCCAACUCAGAAACACUAGUUUGGUUUCUACUCUUCCACCUGAGCUAGGGAACCUUACUAGUCUUAAGCGUCUCGAGCUCCAGCAGAAUCAGUUACAUGGAAGUUUGCCACCAUGUUUUGCCAGGAUAAAAACAUUGGUGUUUUUUACAUUGGCUGGAAAUAAUAUUAAUGGUACCAUCCCGACUGAGAUGUUCACAAAUGGGACCAAACUCGAGUAUUUUGAUGUAUCCAGAAACUUGUUUACUGGAAGCAGCCUAUCGCGUAUCAGCAAGUGGAAGGAUCUCGAAGUUCUUGAUGUAUCCAGAAACUUGUUAACUGGAAGCAUCCCAUCGGAUAUCAGCAAGUGCAAGGAGCUCAUCUAUUUUGAUGUAUCAGACAACUUGCUAACUGGAAGCAUCCCAGUGGGGAUAGGGAAAAUGCGAAACUUGCAAGCAUUGUUUUUGUCCAAAAAUCACCUUACUGGAAAUAUGCCAUCAGAUAUUGGUAAUGCAACAUCUUUGCAAUUCCUUGAUGUCAACUCCAACCAUCUAAAGGGUGAGCUUCCUAAAACUAUCUCCUUGCUGGUAAAUCUUGUUGCUCUCACCUUGUCUGGCAACAAGUUUAUGGGUACCAUUCCUAAUCACGACAGCAAGCAGUUGUCAGUUGUCAAGGUUGCCAACAACACAGACAAUAGUAGCUUCUCGGGAGAAUCACGGUCUGCCAUUUGUGGAUUAACACUUCUGCAGCUAUUGGAUCUAUCAAACAAUGAGCUGUUUGGAGAUUUUCCUGCUUGCUUGUGGAAUUUAAAAGAUUUACAUACCUUGGAUUUGUCAGGCAAUGCUUUUGCUGGGAAAGUUCCAACCUCAACUUUCUAUAACUCUUCACUAAGGUCAUUGCACUUGUCAAGCAACAACUUCGCAGGUUGCUUUCCAGCGGUAUUGAAGAACUUAAAAAGCCUUGUUGUUUUGGAUCUCGGGAACAAUAAAAUUUCUGGUGUAAUCCCUCCGUGGAUAGGGGAAAGCAAUCUUUCUUUGAGGAUUCUCAGCCUGCGAACAAACAAGUUCUUCGGAAGUAUUCCUUGGCAGCUAUCACAACUCCCACAUCUCCAAUUGCUUGAUCUUGCUGAAAAUAAUUUUGUAGGUUCCAUACCAGAAAGUUUGGUCAACUUCUCCUUGAUGAGACAGACAUUUGUGAUGCAACCGUUUGUAACAAUUGACAUACCUCAUUGGUAUUUUUACAAUGGCAGCAUGGACAUAAUUUGGAAGGGACAGGAGUACAUCUUUGAGGGAAGACAUGAAUUUGUGACUGGUAUUGAUCUAUCUGGUAAUUCUCUAUCUGGUGAGAUCCCUUCAGAGUUGACUAGUCUCAGAGGCAUGCAAUUACUAAAUAUGUCAAGAAAUAAUCUGUCUGGUAGUAUCCCCAAGGAUAUUGGUAAUCUAAAGUUAUUAGAAUCCCUUGACCUAUCUUGGAACAAACUACCAGGUCCUAUUCCUCCUACUUUCUCAAACCUGAUGUUCCUCACCACUCUUAAUCUCAACAACAACCUUCUGUCUGGAGACAUACCUACAGGCAGUCAGCUCCAAACACUCGAUGACCCAUCGAUCUACGGCAAUAAUCUGGGUCUCUGUGGUCCCCCCUUAAGACCAUGCACAAAUAAUUCGAGUAGUACAACACCGAUGGAUGGGGCAAAGGAAUAUCACCAUGAACUGGAAACACUCUGGCUGUACUACUCGGUGAUUGCUGGAAUUGUAUUUGGUUUCUGGGUAUGGUUUGGAGCAUUAUUUUUCUGCAAGAUCUGGCGGGUUGCUUUCUUCAGUUGUGUCGAUGCCAUGCAGCAGAAUGCUUUGCACAAGAUGAAGCGUAUCUGA